rnacentral:rRNA from 1 species
GACGUAGGGCGCGAGCGUUGUCCGGAUUUAUUGGGCGUAAAGAGCUCGUAGGCGGCUUGUCGCGUCGACUGUGAAAACCCGCAGCUCAACUGUGGGCUUGCAGCUGAUACGGGCAGGCUAGAAUUCGGUAGGGGAGACUGGAAUUCCUGGUGUAGCGGUGAAAUGCGCAGAUAUCAGGAGGAACACCGGUGGCGAAGGCGGGUCUCUGGGCCGAUAUUGACGCUGAGGAGCGAAAGCGUGGGGAGCAAACAGG